GGUAAAAAAGCUCGUAGUUGGAUUUCUGUUGAGGACGACCGGUCCGCACCAUGUGCGCGCAUCUGGCUCGGCCUCGGCAUCCUCUCGAGAGACGUUCCUGCGCUUAAUUGCGUGGGGCGGAUCUCGAGACUUUUACUUUGAGGAAAUUAGAGUGUUCACGGCAGGCUAGCGCCAGAAUACAUUAGCAUGGAAUAAUACUAUAGGAUCUCGAUUCUAUUUUGUUGGUUUCUAGAAGCGAGAUAAUGAUUAAUAGGGACAAUUGGGGGCAUUCGUAUCAACACGUCAGAGGUGGAAUUCUUGGAUUGUGUUGCGACGAACUACUGCGAAAGCAUUUGCCAAGGAUGUUUUCAUUGAUCAAGAACGAAAGUAAGGGGAUCGAAGACGAUUAGAUACCGUCGUAGUCUUUACCAUAAACUAUGCCAACUAGAGAUGGGGCAUCGUUCACUUACGACUUGCUCCGCACCUUAUGAGAUAUCAAAGUUUUUGGGUUCCGGGGGGAGUAUGGUCGCAAGGCUGAAACUUAAAGGAAUUGACGGAAGGGCACCACCAGGAGUGGAGCCUGCGGCUUAAUUUGACUCAACACGGGGAAACUCACCAGGUCCAGACAUAAUAAGGAUUGACAGAUUGAUAGCUCUUUCUUGAUUUUAUGGGUGGUGGUGCAUGGCCGUUCUUAGUUCGUGGAGUGAUUUGUCUGCUUAAUUGCGUUAA
rnacentral:rRNA from 1 species